rnacentral:rRNA from 1 species
UACAGAGGUCCCAAGCGUUGUUCGGAUUCACUGGGCGUAAAGGGUGCGUGGGCGGUCAGGUAAGUCUGAUGUGAAAUCUCUGGGCUUAACCCAGAAAUGGCAUUGGAUACUAUUUGGCUUGAGAGUUGGAGGGGGGACUGGAAUUCUUGGUGUAGCAGUGAAAUGCGUAGAUAUCAAGAGGAACACCAGUGGCGAAGGCGAGUCCCUGGACAACUUCUGACGCUGAGGCACGAAAGCUAGGGGAGCAAACAGG